rnacentral:lncRNA from 10 species
UCCGGGUUGUGCAGCUGCCCGCCCGGGACGCAAAGUUCUAGUCUGGCCCUGGAUGGGAAGUUGGCGUGGCCGGGAUGCCUUCUAACUUUUUCCCCCGGUGGGGACUGACGUUCCUUUCGAGCUGCUGGCGGUGCCGCCGGGCAGCGUCGCGCCCCGCGGUCACUCCCCAGCCCUGGCCCCCAAGCCGGGCUCGGCGCGCGCAGCAGGUUGAGGGGGCGAGUGCCGAGGCGAGCGGCGGUCCGGCGUCCCCCGUCCCUGCUCUCCAUCUCGGGCUGAGGAUUCGCUGACGCAGCAAGCCGGCCGAUGCCCUGAGGGGACGCAGCCAGGGCGUGCGGGGGAAACGCUGUGUCAUCCCCUGGGGCCGUCGUCCCUCCGAGGGGCUGCCGCCUGGGAACCCCCCCCCAGCCUCUUCCUCGCUGUGUUCUCCGCGGAGGGUCUCCCGCGCCCGGGCCCCCGCGCCGCCGGGGACUGGCUCUGGGCACACCCGCUCAGGCUCUUCGGGGCACGGCGACAGGGGUCCUUUCCCUCCGGGACCUCCUCUGGGGCGUCGCCGACUCGGCCCUAGACUGCGGAGGCGGGGGUGGAACGCGGAGCCCGGGCGCCUGGUUGGGCCCGGAGACCGGAGCCGGGGAGGGGCCGCUCCCGCGCCGCAGACCCUCGGGCUCCCGCGCCUCCCGCACCAAUGAGACGGAAUUUAUUAGGAAACAGGCAGAGAGACCGCUGAAGUGAACCGGGGCUUGCCAGGGGUGGGCGGCAGCCGAGGCGGCCAGAAAAGAACUUUGAAGGAAGAAAGGAAAUUGUGCUAAGACGUCCUUCUAUGGCCGCUUCAGGCACUUCUUGGAUAUCAUCGACCCUCGCACACUCUUUGUCACUGAGGCUCACAGCUGGAGGAAAAUUUGCCUCAGGAUGAAUCACACCUUUGGGUCUCAUCCAUACCUAAUUUAGAGGAUUCUGGAUGAGACUCUGACUUCAGACUUUUGAGUUGCUGCUGGAAUGACUGACUUUUGGGGCUACUGAGAUGGAAUGAAUAUUUGUGAGAAGGACAUAAAUUUUGGGGGGCCAGGGUGAGAUGCUAUGGCUGAAAUGUGUCCCAUACAAAAUUCAGGUGUUGAAACUUAAUGGCAAAUGUGAUAGUAUUAAGAGGUGGGAUCUUUAAGAGGCAAUUAGGCCAUGAGGGUCCCUCCCUCAUGAAUGGAAUUAAGGCCCUUGUAAAAGAGGCCUGGCCGGGUAUGGUGGCUCACGGCUGUAAUCCCAGCACUUUGGGAGGCUAAGGCUCAAGAAUCACUUGAGCCCAGGAGUUUGAGACCAGCCUGGGCAACAUGGCCAGACCCCAACUCUUAAAAAAAUUUUUCAAAAAUUAGCUGGGUGUCGUGGCAUGCACCUAUAGUCCCAGCUACUCGAAUCGGUUGAGCCUGGGAGGUCGAGGUUGCAGUGAACUGUGAUCACGCCACUGCACUCCAGUCUGGGUGACAGAGCAAGACACUAUCUCAAAAAAUAAAAGAGGUUUCACACAGGGUUUGGCCCUCUUGCCGUUCUGUUCUGUUGAGUACACAGCCUUCCUUCCCUCAGAAAGAUGCCCUCACCAGAUACCAAAUGCUGGUUCUUGAUCUUGGACUUCCAGCUUCCAGAACUGUGAGAAAUAAAUUUCUGUUCUUUAUAAAUUAUCUAGUCUGUGGCAUUCUGUUAUAGC